CCCGAAGCCGAUGGCCCAACCCGCAAGGGAGGGAGUCGUCGAAGGUGGGACUGGCGAUUGGGACGAAGUCGUAACAAGGUAGCCGUACCGGAAGGUGCGGCUGGAUCACCUCCUUU
rnacentral:rRNA from 1 species